rnacentral:sRNA from 1 species
GCUGGACGUGGUGGUGCAUGCCCGUAAUCCCAGCCACUUGGGAGGCUGAGGUAGGAGGAUUGCAAGUUCAAAGCCAGCCUCAG